rnacentral:rRNA from 1 species
GACGAACGCUGGCGGCGUGCUUAACACAUGCAAGUCGAACGGUGAAGGGGUCUGCUUUUGUGGGCCCUGGAUGAGUGGCGAACGGGUGAGUAGCACGUGAGUAACCUGCCCCCUUCUUCUGGAUAACCGCAUGAAAGUGUGGCUAAUACGGGAUAUUCUGGGUCUGUCGCAUGAUGGGUCUGGGAAAGAUUGCGCCUUUGGGUGUUUUUGGUGGGGGAUGGGCUCGCGGCCUAUCAGCUUGUUGGUGGGGUGAUGGCCUACCAAGGCGGUGACGGGUAGCCGGCCUGAGAGGGUGGACGGUCACACUGGGACUGAGACACGGCCCAGACGCCUACGGGAGGCAGCAGUGGGGAAUAUUGCACAAUGGGCGCAAGCCUGAUGCAGCGACGCCGCGUGAGGGAUGGAGGCCUUCGGGUUGUAAACCUCUUUCGCCAGUGAAGCAGGCCUGCUCCUUGUGGGUGGGUUGACGGUAGCUGGAUAAGAAGCGCCGGCUAACUACGUG